AAGAACUGUGUAGAAAAGAAUGCAUCUUAAGUGUUCCUUGAGUUUAGGAAAUAAAUCAGUCACAAGGGAUAAGAUCUAGAGAGUAUGAUAGGUGGUACAGCAUUUCAUAAUCCCAUCUUGUGAGCAAGUCACAUACAAUACCAGCCACAAGAUAAUGGGUGUUCCAUGGAGGAUAAUGACUGAGAAUGGUCAGAAAAUUAUGCCAUUUUCUCUGCAAGAUUUCACACAGGUUAUGUUGUAAGAAAUGGGCUUGUAAUUGUAAGUAUUUAGUAUUUACAAUAUUGUCUGUUGAGGACCUAUGCAUCCGAAAUGGCAGGUCACACAUUUUGGAUAGACAGGUAUCCAACAGGUAUGCUUGUUGUUCGUGUUCUCACUUGAAUGCAUUUAUUUACUUUUUUACCAAACUGUACAGUAAUGAAUCAGCAUCAUAAGGAUCUACAAGUCCUGAUAGAACUCUUCUGAGGUAUGGCUGCUUGUAAGGCAAAGUGUACUACUUUUGUGUGCAAGAAUCCAGUUUUAAGCCAUGAACAAUCCUCCAACUUGUAAAACUUGUACUUACUUCUCCACCAACUUUUUGCUCUGUAUAGACUAUGACGUUAAAAUGAUUAUGCAGCACUUGGAAAGGCAAAUACCCUUUACAGUGAUGGGAGGGGAAAGUUCAACCUUAUAUCUGCCAAUGCAAUUACGAUUGCACAUGUCACCAUUCCCCUCCAGCACUGCUUGAUCACUAUUAAAUUUCCAACCCAUGUAUAAUAAAACUGUUACAAAUACUUACUUACCUG
rnacentral:lncRNA from 1 species